UGGGGAAUCUUGGACAAUGGGGGAAACCCUGAUCCAGCGACGCCGCGUGAGCGAUGAAGCCCUUCGGGGUGUAAAGCUCUUUCGGCAGGAACGAUCGUGACGGUACCUGCAGAAGAAGCUGCGGCCAACUACGUGCCAGCAGCCGCGGUAAUACGUAGGCAGCAAGCGUUGUUCGGAGGUACUGGGCGUAAAGCGUGUGUAGGCGGCCGGGCAAGUCCGGUGUGAAAUCUCCCGGCUCAACCGGGGGGG
rnacentral:rRNA from 1 species